rnacentral:rRNA from 1 species
UUUUGCCUACGGGAGGCAGCAGUGGGGGAUAUUGCACAAUGGGGGGAACCCUGAUGCAGUGACGCCGCGUGGGUGAAGAAGCGCCUCGGCGCGUAAAGCCCUGUCAGCAGGGAAGAAAAUGACGGUACCUGAAGAAGAAGCCCCGGCUAACUACGUGCCAGCAGCCGCGGUAAUACGUAGGGGGCAAGCGUUAUCCGGAUUUACUGGGUGUAAAGGGAGCGCAGACGGCGA